GUGCAAGGCAAGAGCUCUGCCACUGAGCCAAAAUCCUAGCCCACCAGCUUCUCUUAAACACAACUAUUUUAAAAUAGGCAUUUGUAAUAUUUAAAAUGCUUAAUAUAUUCUUAGAUUAUUCCUAUAUUUAAUGCCAAGAUUUGAAACACUAAAAAAAAUUCAUAUCACCACCAGUGAAAUUUUAUCUCCUGAACUGUACUUACUAAGAGUAAAUGCUGAUUGGAGAUUUGAGUUGGCUUAUGGGAUGCAUUAGUCAGUUUGAGCUACAUAGUAAUUACUACAGACAGGGUGGUUUUAACAACAGAAAUGUCUCAUCAUUCUGGAGGCUGAAACUCUAUCAAGAUGUUGGCAAGUUUGGGUUCUUCUGGGGCUUCUCUCCUUGUCUUGCACCUUCUCACUGUGUCCUCAUGGUUUUUUUCUCUAUGCAUGCAUGUAUCAGUGUCUCUGUGCACAGAAAAUCAGUCAGAUUGAAUUAGGGCCCAUCAUAAUUUUCACUUAAUUUCUGUUUAAAGGUCCUAUGUCCAACAUAUGAACCUACAUGCUUCAAAAUAUGAAUUUGGUUGGACACAAUUUAGUCUUUAACAUGGGAUGUGGACUAGUAACAACCAGGACAUUUUCUUAUGAUUAUACCAUCUUAGCCAACGCUAAUCCAAAUCUAGACCUUGGAGAAUUCUAACAUCAUGCCUCUAAAAUUGGAAUUGGCUUGCUGUCCAGAUGCCCUGGAUUCAAGUUUCAGAUUCUAAUUUUCUUGUCUAACUUCAGUUUGCAGCAUCUACACAGGGUGAAUGAUACUCAGUGACUCUAUGCACAGCUUCAUACUAAUUCUGAAUUGCUUUCACAUUCUUUCUAUCUGUAGGUCCACAACUCUUAGGAAUAUUUAAAUGACAUCUGAUUGUGUUGAGCAUAUUGCUCAAGUUUUGCCUUGCCCUGUUGUCACAGUUCUAAGGUCACACUAAUGAAACUACUGAGACUUGGAAAUCCCCUUCAUAGAAGUUCAUUAAAAUGACUUCCUUCCAAUAAAGCAGAGAUAUCAAUUAGCGAACUGUUACCUGAGAGUACAGGUAAACGAAGAAAGUAAUUUAUUUGAGGCUGGUGGUGGAAUGCAGGGCCCAGGAGAGGGGAUAUGUGGAAAUCAGCAAAAAGAAUAGUGGGCCAAAGACACAAGACCAAAACUGAGCUAGCCAACUAAAGGGAAAUGAAACAAGAAACUGGGCAAGGCAGUAGAGUAAAGAGCAUUGAGAACCAGACUAUUUGGCAAACUGAAGUUGGUAACCGUCCAAAUCACUUUAUCUCUCCAGACUUUGGCUCCUAAAGAUCCCUUCAAAAUCCAAAACUUCUAUGAUUUUUCCUUGCUGUUUUUCUAAACUAAUUAUAGACUCAGCUGAAGAGAACAGUCUUGCAAGUUAAGUAUAAUUUCCUCCAAGUGGUAGUUUAAGUAUAUUACUCAGGAUUCUGGAUAGGUGAGACAGAAAGCUAAUGUGAAUCUCUAUCCUAAGAACAUAAGAAUGUCUCCUAGAACAAAAAGAAAGGAAUAGGUCUGUAUCCAGGAAUAAUAUAAGAAAAACUUGAACAACCUCAGAAAUCCAUUUCUAACUCACUACUCAGUUCCUCUCUGCCAUCAUUUUCUUUCAACAAACCAGCAUCUGUGUUUCUCCAGACCUUGUCUUAUGGUAGAAAAUAUGGUUUCAAUUGUUCUAGAGUUUCAUAUUGUCUGUCUCUGUGUCUCUCUUCUCCCUCUCCCCUAAUUUUCUUCCUCACUCCCCCUUCUUUUUCCAGAAUCCCAGAGAACAGACACUUCAAACAGGAGGCCAGCCCCCAUUAAAAUUUAAAAUCUAAUAUGGUUAGGCUAUGCCAUUUUGGACUGAAAUUAUAUUUUCCAUAAUUACAGCAGUCCUGAUAACCUUGUGGAUGAAUAGGCAUCUUCAGAAAUGUGGGCAGAUUCUGUCACAAAACAAUGGACCUUGGAAGUGGUACAGGGGAGGGCUGCAAGAAGAUGCCUGGCUCAGGCCCCACAUCACAGAAGCAGCAACUCUUUCUUCCUCUUUUCACUGGUGGUGACAAUAGAAUAAAGGUAAUGUGACUAGAUAAGGUGUCUCUUUUUGUGUCUUGUUUAUAAUACAACUUUCUAAGAGCAAGUAUAUGGUAAAAAUCACCUGAUAUAUGACUAGCAUCUUCAAUGGUAUCACAUCUUCCAAAAUAAUAUGAUUUAAAAUAAUAGAUAACUAGCUAUUGAUUAUUUUAAUCUCAAGGAAAUUAAAAGAAAAUAUCUACUUAUUUAUGGGUAUCCAUCAUGAGUGAGUUACUCUUCCUAGGGUACAAUAAUGAAUAAAUACUUCCCUCAAUAAAGUCACCAGCUCAGAAUUUUAUAAAAGCUAAGCAUUCUUGUGUUUUUAUUGCUAUUGGCUGUUGCUGCUGCUGUGGUGGAGUAAAUUCCAUCCCCCA
rnacentral:lncRNA from 1 species